GUACGGGUUGAAAUUAGCUUUAGGGGUUAUUGUUAUGAUUAGCUUAUGUUUAGGGUUAGCCUUAAAUACUGGGUUAGGGUUAGAGAUAGAGUUAGGGGGAGGGUUAGGGUAAAGGUUAGGGAUAGGUUUAGGGUUAGGGUUAGGCCUACGUUAUCAGAUAGGAUUAGGGUUAGGGUUAGGGUUAGGGUUAGGGUUAGGGUUAGGGUUAGGGUUAGGGUUAGGGUUAGGGUUAGGGUUAGGGUUAGGGUUAGGAUUAAGCUUAGGCUUAGCGUUAGGGUUAGGGUUAGGGUUAGGCUUAGGGUUUCCGUUAGGCUUAGGGUUAGGGUUAGGGUUAGGGUUAGGGUUAGUGUUAGGGUUAGGGUUAGGGUUAGGGUUAGGGUUAGGGCUAGGGUUAGGGUUAGGGUUAGGGUUAGGGUUAGGGUUAGGGUUAGGGUUAGGGUUAGGGUUAGGGGUAGGGUUAGGGUAGGGUUAGGGUUAGGGUUAGGGUUAGGGUUAGGGUUAGGGUUAGGGUUAGGGUUAGGGUUAGGGUUAGGGUUAGGGUUAGGGUUUAGGGUUAGGGUUAGGGUUAGGGUUAGGGUUAGGGUUAGGGUUAGGGUUAGGGUUAGGGUUAGGGUUAGGGUUAGGGUUAGGGUUAGGGUUAGGGUUAGGGUUAGGGUUAGGGUUAGGGUUAGGUUAGGGUUAGGGUUAGGGUUAGGGUUCGGGUUAGGGUUAGGGUUAGGGUUAGGGUUAGGGUUAGGGUUAGGGGUUAGGUGUUAGGGUUAGGGUUAGGGUUAGGGUUAGGGUUAGGGCUUAGGGUUAGGUUAGGGUUAGGGUUACGGUUAGGUUUCGGGUUAGGGUUAGG
rnacentral:lncRNA from 1 species